UACAGAGGGUGCAAGCGUUAAUCGGAAUUACUGGGCGUAAAGCGUGCGUAGACGGUUACAUAAGUCGGGUGUGAAAGCCCCGGGCUCAACCUGGGAAUUGCAUUCGAGACUGCGUAGCUAGGGUGCGGAAGAGGGAAGCGGAAUUUCCGGUGUAGCGGUGAAAUGCGUAGAUAUCGGAAGGAAUACCGGUGGCGAAGGCGGCAUCCUGGACCGGCAUUGACGCUGAGUGAGCGAAAGCCAGGGGAGCAAACGGG
rnacentral:rRNA from 1 species